AUAAGCGUUGAAAAGCUUCUGGAUGACUUGAGGGUAGGGGUGAAAGGCUAAUCAAGCUGGGAAAUAGCUCGUACUCCCCGAAAUGCCUUUUGGGGCAGCGUUGUAAUAAAGAGUCUACUGGAGGUAGAGCUACUGAUUGGAUGCGGGGGCUUCACCGCCUACCAAAUCCUGACAAACUCCGAAUGCCAGUAGUAUGAUUUACAGCAGUGAGUGACUGGGUGCUAAUGUCCAGUCGCAAAAGAGGAACAACUCAGACCAGCAACUAAGGUCCCGAAGAAUAUGCUAAGUUGAUCUAACGAUGUUUUGUUGCAGAGACAGCUAGGAUGUUAGCUUGGAAGCAGCUAUUCAUUCAAAGAGUGCGUAACAGCUCACUAGUCGAGCGACAGAGCGUGGAUAAUAAACGGGCAUCAAGCAUAUCACCGAAGUUCUGGGCGCGAGAGCGCGGUAGGGGAGCAUUCCAUUCAGCGUCGAAGCAGUUUCGUGAGGAAUUGUGGAGCGUAUGGAAAAGCAAAUGUAGGCAUGAGUAACGAUAAUGCGGGAGAGUAACCCGCACACCGCAAGACCAAGGUUUCCUGAUCAACGCUAAUCGGAUCAGGGUUAGUCGGGUCCUAAGGGUAAGCCGAACGGCGAUCUCGAUGGAUAAUCGGUUAAUAUUCCGAUACUAACAUAUACCUCGAUGGAGAGACGAAGGAACGUAAGUGCCGCCACCUGACGGAAUAGGUGGUUAAAGGGCGUAGAUAUAGGGGCAGAUUAAGAGUUAGUCCUUGCUGAAACCUGACAGUACAGAGAGCCUACGGGCAAUUUGAUAGAGCACCCAAGUCGACUUCCGAGAAAAUCUUCUAAGUUAUAGUAUAUGUUACCCGUACCGUAAACCGACACAGGUGGUCGAGGAGAGUAUCCUAAGGUGCUCGAGUGAAUCACGGUUAAGGAACUAGGCAAAUUAACCCCGUAACUUCGGGAAAAGGGGUCCCUAUGAAAGUAGGGCGCAGCGAAGAGGUCCAGGCGACUGUUUAUCAAAAACACAGGGCUCUGCAAAUUCGAAAGAAGACGUAUAGGGCCUGACACCUGCCCGGUGCUGGAAGGUUAAGAGGGGAUGUCAUCGCAAGAGAAGCAUUGAAUCGAAGCCCCAGUAAACGGCGGCCGUAACUAUAACGGUCCUAAGGUAGCGAAAUUCCUUGUCGGGUAAGUUCCGACCUGCACGAAUGGUGUAACGAUCUGGACACUGUCUCAACCGUGAGCUCGGUGAAAUUGUAGUCCCGGUGAUGAUGCCGGGUACCCGCAACGGGACGAAAAGACCCCGUGAACCUUUACUAUAGCUUAACGCUGAAUUUGGGUACACAAUGUGUAGGAUAGGCCGGAGGCUUUGAAGCGGGCACGCCAGUGUUCGUGGAGCCGACGUUGAAAUACGGCCCUUUGUGUAUUUGAGUUCUAACCCUGCGAAGGGGACACCGUUUGGUGGGUAGUUUGACUGGGGUGGUCGCCUCCAAAAGCGUAACGGAGGCUUCCCAAGGUACCCUCAGCACGAAUGGUAACCGUGCGCGGAGUGCAAUAGCAUAAGGGUGCUUGACUGUGAGACAUACAAGUCGACCAGGUACGAAAGUAGGGUAUAGUGAUCCGGUGGUUCUGCGUGGACUGGCCAUCGCUCAAAGGAUAAAAGGUACUCCGGGGAUAACAGGCUGAUCGCCGCCAAGAGCUCAUAUCGACGCGGCGGUUUGGCACCUCGAUGUCGGCUCGUCACAUCCUGGGGCUGGAGAAGGUCCCAAGGGUUGGGCUGUUCGCCCAUUAAAGUGGCACGCGAGCUGGGUUCAGAACGUCGUGAGACAGUUCGGUCUCUAUCUGUUGCGGGCGUAGGAAGAUUGAGGGGUCCUGACUUUAGUACGAGAGGACCGAGUUGGACGAACCUCCGGUGUAUCGGUUAUGCUGCCAAGUGUACCGCCGAGUAGCCGCGUUCGGUCUGGAUAAGCGCUGAAAGCAUCUAAGCGCGAAGCCAUCCCCAAGAUAAGUCUUCCCUUGAGGGGCGUAGGAGACUACUACGUUGAUAGGCUGCAGGUGUAAAGACAGCAAUGUCAAAGCCGAGCAGUACUAAUUACCCGAUAGGCUUUCUUUUU
rnacentral:rRNA from 1 species